UGGUACAGGUUAUCUUAAUGACUCUUGAGAGCAACAAGAUAUCUGUAUUGCUGGGAGCAUUGGAUUUCAGUCCUGAUGUUUGCCAGAAGACACUGAUUGUAGCAAACUCUUCUCAGGAAGUUGAAGAUGUGUUUAAGGUUGUAAACAACAAAUCAGCGUUCUGUCUCAAGACCCAUGAGGGAUUACUGGACAAGCUUGACUUUGUCAUCCAGCAGUGGAGGAAAAACAUUGGCCCUGGCACUCAUCUUAUUUUGGUGAGCACCAGCGAGUGUUUAAAGUUUCUUGGCAUUAGAGAUGCAGCUUGUGUUGUCCAUUUUGGAUUUCCCUCCUCUCCAAAACUGUUUGGCAGCAGACUCCUCUGCAUGGCUGAGAACUUCCGAAAUCUGUCUC